rnacentral:snoRNA from 1 species
ACCUGCUAGUCAUGCUGACUACCGCCGUACGAGCAUGGCUGACAGGAUACCAAGGUACACCAUCAACAGUUGGCCGAGCUGAAGGGACAGUU